rnacentral:rRNA from 1 species
AUUGAACGCUGGCGGCAGGCCUAACACAUGCAAGUCGAGCGGAUGAAGGGAGCUUGCUCCUGGAUUCAGCGGCGGACGGGUGAGUAAUGCCUAGGAAUCUGCCUGGUAGUGGGGGAUAACGUCCGGAAACGGGCGCUAAUACCGCAUACGUCCUGAGGGAGAAAGUGGGGGAUCUUCGGACCUCACGCUAUCAGAUGAGCCUAGGUCGGAUUAGCUAGUUGGUGGGGUAAAGGCCUACCAAGGCGACGAUCCGUAACUGGUCUGAGAGGAUGAUCAGUCACGCUGGAACUGAGACACGGUCCAGACUCCUACGGGAGGCAGCAGUGGGGAAUAUUGGACAAUGGGCGAAAGCCUGAUCCAGCCAUGCCGCGUGUGCGAAGAAGGUCUUCGGAUUGUAAAGCACUUUAAGUUGGGAGGAAGGGCAGUAAGUUAAUACCUUGCUGUUUUGACGUUACCAACAGAAUAAGCACCGGCUAACUUCGUG